rnacentral:rRNA from 1 species
AAUCACCAGUUCUCAUCUGAUCACCAAAGUUAAGCAAUGUCAAGCUUGUUCUCUACUUAGAUGGGUGACCACUUGUAAAUACCAGGUGCUGUAAG